AUGGCGUCGCUGGUUGUAGUUGUCAUUGUUUGCAUUAAGAAUGCAGAAAAUGGCCUUUAUCCUGUACCUCUGAAAAUAAUUGAUGUAGCAAAGACUGAAAUUGAACAAGAAAAUGAUGCUGGUUAUCUCUCUGAAUCUCAGAAAUUUGGAGAGCUCGCAAUAACCAAAGAAUCAAAGGCCUUGAUGGGAAUUUACCAUGGUCAGAUUCUGUGCAAGAAGAAUAAAUUUGAAGUUCCACAGAAGGAUAUGAAGGAUCUGGCUAUUCUUGAUGCAGGGCUCAUAGGAGCUGGCAUUGCCCAGGUCUCCGUGGAUAAGGGGCUAAAGACUUUACUUAAAGAUGCUACACUCACUGGGCUAGGCCAGGGACAGCAGCAAGUGUUCAAAGGGUUGAAUGAUAAAGUGAAGAAGAAAGCUCUAACAUCAUUCGAAAGGGAUGCUAUCUUUAGCAACCUUACUGGGCAGCUCAAUUACCAAGGUUUUGAAAAGGCCAACAUGGUGAUUGAAGCUGUUUUUGAGGACCUUAGUUUCAAACACAAAGUGCUAAAGGCAGUAGAAGCGGUGAUUCCAGAGUAUUGUGUCUUUGCCGGUAACACAUCUGCUCUGCCUAUCUGUGAAAUUGCUCCUGUCAGCAAAAGACCUGACAAGGUGAUUAGCAUGUACUACUUCUCUCCUGUGGACAAGAUGCAGCUGCUGGAGAUUAUCAAAACGGAGAAAACUUCCAAGGGCACAAUUGCUUCAGCUGUAGCAAUCAGUCUCAAGCAGGGGAAGGUCAUCAUUGUGGUUAAGGAUGGGCCUGGCUUCUACACAACCAGGUGUCUUGCACCCAUGAUGUCUGAAGUCAUCUGAAUACUCUAGGAAAGAGUUGACCCCAAGAAGCUGGAUUCCUUGACCACAAGCUUUGGCUUUCCUGUGGGUGCUGCCACAUUGGUGGAUGAAGUUGGCGUGGAUGUAGCAAAACAUGUAGCAGAAGAACUAGGCAAAGCCUUUGGGGAGCUGUUUGGAGGUGGAAGCCUAGAACUACUGACACAGAUGGUGUCCAAGGGCUUCCUCGGUCGUAAGUCUGGGAAGGGCUUUUAUAUCUACCAGGAGUGUAUAAAGGAUAAGAACUUGAAUUCUGACAUGGAUGGUAUUUUGGCAAGUCUGAAGGUGUCUUCUAAGUCUGAAGUCUCCUCUGAUGAAGACAUCCAGUACCACCUGUUGAUAAGAUUUGUGAAUGAGGCAGUCAUGUGCCUGCAGGAAGGGAUCUUGGCCACACCUGCAGAGGGAAACAUUGGAGCAGUCUUUGGGCUCAGCUUCCCACCUUGUUUUGGAGGGCCUUUCAGAUUCACAGAUCUGUACAGUGCUCAGAAGAUAGCAGACAGGCUCAGGAAGUGUGAGGUUGCCUAUGGAAAACAGUUCACUCCAUGCCAGCUGCUAACUAACUACACCAACAAUCCUAACAAGAAGUUCUACCAGUGAGUGGGGCCUUUGCCCUGCCCGGUCGGCGCACUAACCCCGGCUGCCAGCAGU